rnacentral:rRNA from 1 species
UUGAACGCUGGCGGCAUGCCUUACACAUGCAAGUCGAACGGUAACAGGUCUUCGGAUGCUGACGAGUGGCGAACGGGUGAGUAAUACAUCGGGACGUGCCCGAUCGUGGGGGAUAACGCAGCGAAAGCUGUGCUAAUACCGCAUACGAUCUACGGAUGAAAGCGGGGGAUCGCAAGACCUCGCGCGGACGGAGCGGCCGAUAUCAGAUUAGGUAGUUGGUGGGGUAAAAGCCUACCAAGCCUGCGAUCUGUAGCUGGUCUGAGAGGACGACCAGCCACACUGGGACUGAGACACGGCCCAGACUCCUACGGGAGGCAGCAGUGGGGAAUUUUGGACAAUGGGCGAAAGCCUGAUCCAGCCAUGCCGCGUGCGGGAAGAAGGCCUUCGGGUUGUAAACCGCUUUUGUCAGGGAAGAAAUCCUUUGAGCUAAUACCUCAGAGGGAUGACGGUACCUGAAGAAUAAGCACCGGCUAACUACGU